CUAGGGGUACAGUUCAGAGGUAGAGCACAUGCUUAGCAUGCAUGAAGCCCUGUGUUCAAUCCCCAGCACCAAAA
rnacentral:tRNA from 1 species